rnacentral:rRNA from 1 species
UACAGGGGGCGCGAGCGUUGCUCGGAAUCACUGGGCGUAAAGCGUACGCAGGCGGACCGUUAAGUCGGAUGUGAAAUCCCAGGGCUCAACCCUGGAAGUGCAUUCGAUACUGGCGGUCUCGAGUACGGGAGAGGAGAGCGGAAUUCCUGGUGUAGAGGUGAAAUUCGUAGAUAUCAGGAGGAACACCGGUGGCGAAAGCGGCUCUCUGGCCCGAUACUGACGCUCAUGUACGAAAGCGUGGGGAGCAAACAGGAUUAGAUACCCUGGUAGUCCACGCUGUAAACGAUGAGUGCUAGCUGCUGGGAAUCCUUUUCUUUUCUCAGUGGCGUAGCUAACGCGUUAAGCACUCCGCCUGGGAAGUACGGUCGCAAGACUAAA